rnacentral:tRNA from 1 species
GGGGACUUAGCUCAGCUGGGAGAGCACCUGCUUUGCAAGCAGGGGGUCGUCGGUUCGAUCCCGACAGGCUCCACCA